rnacentral:rRNA from 1 species
AUUGAACGCUGGCGGCAUGCUUUACACAUGCAAGUCGAACGGUAACAGGGUGCUUGCACCGCUGACGAGUGGCGAACGGGUGAGUAAUGCGUCGGAACGUGCCGAGUAGUGGGGGAUAACGCAGCGAAAGUUGUGCUAAUACCGCAUACGUACUGAGGUAGAAAGUGGGGGACCUUCGGGCCUCACGCUAUUCGAGCGGCCGACGUCUGAUUAGCUAGUAGGUGAGGUAAAGGCUCACCUAGGCGACGAUCAGUAGCGGGUCUGAGAGGAUGAUCCGCCACACGGGGACUGAGACACGGCCCAGACUCCUACGGGAGGCAGCAGUGGGGAAUUUUGGACAAUGGGCGAAAGCCUGAUCCAGCCAUGCCGCGUGUCUGAAGAAGGCCUUCGGGUUGUAAAGGACUUUUGUCAGGGAGGAAAUCCCUAGUGCUAAUAACACUGGGGGAUGACAGUACCUGAAGAAUAAGCACCGGCUAACUACGUGCCAGCAGCCGCGGUAA